rnacentral:rRNA from 1 species
AAUGAACGCUGGCGGCAGGCCUAACACAUGCAAGUCGAACGGGUCCUUCGGGACUAGUGGCGGACGGGUGAGUAACGCGUGGGAACAUACCCUUUGGUACGGAAUAGCCUCGGGAAACUGGGAGUAAUACCGUAUGUGGUCGAGAGACGAAAGAUUUAUCGCCAAAGGAUUGGCCCGCGUUGGAUUAGGUAGUUGGUGGGGUAAAUGGCCUACCAAGCCGACGAUCCAUAGCUGGUUUGAGAGGAUGAUCAGCCACACUGGGACUGAGACACGGCCCAGACUCCUACGGGAGGCAGCAGUGGGGAAUCUUAGACAAUGGGGGAAACCCUGAUCUAGCCAUGCCGCGUGAUCGAUGAAGGCCUUAGGGUUGUAAAGAUCUUUCAGGUGGGAAGAUAAUGACUGUACCACCAGAAGAAGCCCCGGCUAACUCCGUGCCAGCAGCCGCGGUAAU